CGAGGGGGGCCGUGCGGGUGUGCAAGAGGUGUGCGGGUGUGCAAGGGCUGGGGGUGCGUGCAGGUGUGGGGGUGUGCAAGGGGUGGGCGUGCGCCCGUGCGGGUGUGCAUGCAGGUGUGCGUCCGUCUGGGGGUGUGCGUGCAAGGGGCGUGGGGGGGUGUGUCCGUGGGGGGUGCGCGUGCAAAGGGGGAGCGUGUCUGGCCGUGGGGGUGUGCGUGCAGGUGUGUGUCCGCGUGUGGUUGUGUCACCGAUCCGUGCGGUUGUGCAUCCGCGUGGUUGUGUGCAAGGGGGGCGUGCGAGUGUCUGUGCACGCUUGUAGCGUGCCCGUGGUUGUGUAUCUGGGUGCGGGGGCGUGUGCGGGUGUGAGUCCGGGUGUAGUUGUGUGUCCGUGCGAGGUUGUGUCGUGCGUCCCCGUGGUUGUGUGUCCGUGCGGGUGGGCGUGCAAGGGGUGUGCACCCUCGUGCGUGUGUGUCCGCGUGCAACCGUGCCCCGUGCUCACGUGCGGCUGUGUCCCGUGUCGGUGUGGUUGUGCAGGGGGUGCGUGCGGGUGUGCAUCUACAAGUGGGUGUGUCACACGCCCGUAUCUGAUGGUGCAUCCGCACGUGCUUGUGCGUUCACGCGCAGCUGUGCUGAGUGUGCACGUCUCCGUGUGGUUGUGCACCCGCGUGCUCGUGUUGCACGGCUGUGUGUGGCUGUGCACCUCCGUGCGGUUGUUGCACGCCCACGUGCAAUCCCUCCUGCGCUUGUGUCACUCAUCGGUGUGCAGUUGUGCAUCCGCGUGUGGCACUCGUGUGCCCACGUGCAGUCCCGUGUGCAGUUGCACGUGCAGGUGCGCGUGCAAAAGAGCUGCUGCGCGUGAUCCCGCGUGCACGCGUUGUGCGUGGUCGUGCAUCCCCGUGUGGGUGUGCCCCGUGUGGGUGUGCACCCACGUGCAAUCGUCACGCAUCCACGCCUGGGUGCGGUUGUGCACCCACGGACAUUUGCACACCCACGUGCAAGUGUGUCUCGCGGUUGUGCUUGUGUGUGGGUGUGCGUCCGCGUGUGGUUGUGUGCACCGUGUCCGCGUGUGCAUCUGCUGCACACGCGUGUGGCAGCGCACACGUUGGUGUGUGGUUGUGCCCUGUGUGAUUCUGCACGAGGCUGUAGGCCCGUGUGCACGCGCUUGUGCCUGAGUGUGACGUGCUUGCACGCCCACCCCCCCCUGUGGCCUCACGGGCACCCGUGGGUGCUCAAGGUCAGGGCCGUGCACGCUGGUCGGAGGGGCGUGAGUGUGCACGAGCGUGUGGGAGUUGUGCACCUGCGUGUGAGCACUGCGUGUGCAUGGCUUGUGCACGUUGUGUGUGUGUGUGUGUGUGUGCAGCGUGUUUGGGCGUGCAACGGCUGGGGGGGGGGAGGUGUGCACCCUGUGCAACCCCCGUGUGCUGUGGGUGUGCAUUGCACGUGAGCGUGCGCCGUGUGUGUGUGUGUGCGUGUGCUGUGGGUGUGCACUGUGAGUGUGCACUGUGAGUGUGCACAGUGUGGGCGUGCAAACCGCAGGCGUGCACUGCGCGUGUUGUCCACGCUCGUGCUGUUUGCACGCCCACCCUGCGUGCAUCCGCUGCAGGUGCCGCGUGCGUGCACGCUCGGGGUGCUGUGCGCACACUGUGGGUGUGCAACGGGCGUGCACAGCACGCGGGUGCACUCGGGGUGUGGAGUGUGCAAACGCCGCGUGUGCAACACAACGCCGGGGGCUGCGUGGGUGUGCACGG
rnacentral:lncRNA from 1 species